GGCGGCGUGCCUAACACAUGCAAGUCGAACGGGGUAGCAAUACCCAGUGGCAGACGGGUGAGUAACACGUGGUCAACCUACCUCUGUGUGGGGGAUAACUAGCCGAAAGGUUAGCUAAUACCGCAUACGAUCGUUUUGGGGCAUCUCGAGACGAUGAAAGGAGCAAUCCGCACGGAGAGGGGACUGCGUCCCAUUACUUAGUUGGUGGGGUAACGGCCUACCAAGACUCCGAUGGGUAGCUGGCUUGAGAGAGCGACCACCCACACUGGAACUGAGACACGGUCCAGACUCCUACGGGAGGCA
rnacentral:rRNA from 1 species